UACGUAGGACGCAAGCGUUAUCCGGAGUACUGGGCGUAAAGGGGCGCGCAGGCGGCUGCGCAAGUCGGGUGUGAAACCCCCGGGGGCUCAACCCCCGGAACUGCAUCCGAUACUGCGUGGCUAGAGGUAGGUAGGGGAGAUCGGAAUUCCUGGUGUAGCGGUGAAAUGCGCAGAUAUCAGGAGGAACACCGGUGGCGAAGGCGGAUCUCUGGGCCUUACCUGACGCUCAGGCACGAAAGCUAGGGGAGCGAACAGGAUAG
rnacentral:rRNA from 1 species